rnacentral:lncRNA from 1 species
AUUCGUUUAAUUUUGUAGAAUGAGGAUUUCUUAUUGACGGAUUGAUGAAGGGAUGAAUUAAUGGAAUCACUUAAGAAAAUGCACACUACUCCGUUGUUGUUGACUCUCAGAUCUCUAAACACCCACAAGUUUUCCUGUUGACUGAUCCGAAUAGAAGAAACAACGCGCCUGCUUCGUCUUCUCAUCAGAGGCGAUUACAAUAUGUCAAUACGAGUUUUAAGCACAUUAUUUAUGGGUAGUGCCAUGGUGACUAUAUAUAAGGUGUGUUGAUAAGAAAAUUGCAACGCAGUCUGGUCAACGUUAGUGGACAACUUUUUUGAUGACGUCACAACGGGGAGUUACUGACUAUGUGUUGUUAAGUAUUAACUCAUAUUAUUCCAAGAAUUAUGUCUUCUUCUGGAGGUACUAGGCGUAUUUGUGCUAUGGCAAUUAUUACUACAAAAAGAACAAAAUGGCGAAUGAAUCAAAAAUUUACCUUAUUAACAUCUACGAUGAGAAUGAUCAGAGAACGUGUAUUCUUUUUUUGAAGAGCCUACUCCACGGAGGCCCAUUGGUGGAAGUGCUUGAACGCCAUUACAUUCUAUGAGUUUUUUAUAACUUUCCUUACACUCUUGGCAUAGUGAUUAAUUACAAUAUAUAGUUCAUAAUGGUAACGUGUACUGCAGUGGAUUGAAAUAAUAGAUCAACUUUGACUAAAAAGUUUCCUGGCUUAUCGCCCAAGAAAAUGUUUAAUUUUCAAUAGACAUCAAUCGUAGGAAGUUCUGGACCAAUGCCAUCAAACGUGCGAAUUGGACUCCCACCAAAUACUCAAGAGUUUGCCAAUUCAUAUAAUCUACAUUUUUUACUAUGAUCCCUUUGAAGAAUCAAUGUUUCUGCAAUGUCUUCAGAAGGACGGUGACGUUUGGUACAUAAUGCAAUUCCUACUUUAUUUGAACAUGUUAAGAUAAAAACAAACAAAAUCUUCCGUUUAACCGAAACAAAGACGUAGAAGAACUUCAAAGGAACCAAAACAAUUCUAAUGUUGGAACAUUUGCAUUCUAAAACACAUGGGACAUCAAAUAAGGAAGAUUUUCCAAUUAUCAAUAUGAUGAUGGCGAAUCGAUUUCUUAGAUGAUUUAAAAGAAGGGAGAAAUAAAACUGACAAGCGGAUAAUGCGAUUUCACAAACUUUAUUAAAACUAAAAAAAAAUAGUGAUUUAAAAAAUAUAACAAAAAUCCUGCAAGAUAUAAUUGAAAAAGAAAUAACAAAUAUAUCCCUACGCGAUUGUCAUAAUAUUAGGACAAAAAUUAUUAAAAAAUAUUGACAAGUUCGCGUUAAGAUGUUUGCAAAACUUUCUCGAAUGAAACGAACUGAGGAAGGAGGAAUGAAGAACAAUGUUCGGGCUAGCAAAAGUGCAAGUAUGCAUGAAAUUGUGCAUCACCUUUCUUGAUAAUUGGUCACAUUUAAUUAUGUGUAUACUUUAUAUUUAUUUAAAAAAAAUAAAAUUCUUUAAUAAAGAUAAUAAAAAAAAUUUAACAACUA